rnacentral:lncRNA from 1 species
UGGAGUUAAUGAUAUUUGUGCUGUCAUUCGUAAUUUGGUUUCAGGUCAGGAUCGAAAGCUCCAUGUUAGUUUCCAUCCCUUCAAUGGAGAUGGAGGAGAUUCAUCAUGUUGUUUAGUCUAUAGACCCUUCAAGUGCUCUUGGUCUUGAUCGCUUUAUCGGCUCUUUAAUUAGUCAAUCUGGUCUCUCAGUAGUCAGUACUGUCCAAUGAAAACUUAUUUCUAAAAAUAAUAAAUAAACGACUUUAAUUUUUUGGGACAAUGCCCCCUAGCCCUAAUUUUAAGAAUUUUAUUCCCACUAACAAAAUUAGAUUUUAAAAUUUCCAAGAGCCAACUUAUACAGCAGAAAGACAAUUAUACCCUUAAUGAAUUAAAUAAACUACAAUAAACCAUUAUAAAAAUCUUUUAUAAAAUAAAGUUUUUAUGACUGAAUUCUCACGACCAAUAACGUUGACCGGGCUCCGGGGACCGUUAACUGGACUUCGGUGACUGUUGGCCGGGCUCCGGCAAUCGUUGACCGGGUUCCGACGACAGUUGACCAGACUCCGACGACCGUUGAUCGGACUCUGACGAAAGUUAGGAGAUCUAUUAGGGGCAGUAGGGGUCUAUUAGGGGCAGUAGGGAAUUUGUCCGGGAAUCUACUAGGGGCAAUAAGAGGUUUGUCCGGUGGUAUACUGGAGGCAGUAGGGGGUGUACUGGGGGCAGUAGGAGGGUGUACUAGGAGCAGUAGGAGGUCUGUCCGGUGGUCUACUGGGGGCAGUAGGGGGGUCUACUGGGGGGCAAUAGGAGGUCUGUCCGAUGGUCUACUAGGGGCAGGACAGUAGGGGGUGUACUGGGGGCAGUAUGAGGGUCUACUGGGGGUAUAUUAAAGGCAGUAGGGGGUCUUUUGGAGGCAAUAUGCAUGAGGUAUGUCCGGGGGUCUACUAGGGGUAGUAGAACAGUCUACUAGGGGCAGUAGAAGGGUCUACUAGGGGUAGUACCUGUAUUUUCUCCACCGCCAAACCCCUCACCAACAACAACAACCAAAUGUACCUUCACCAUCGCCAAAUCCCUCACCACGGCGGUUUCAACCACUGCUACCUACCUCACAAUUCACACUACCAAUUUUGGGAUAUUCAAGCACCAUGGCCUUUAAAAUCUCCUUAUGCCAACCCAAACAUAGACAUCAUCAAUUGUGCAUAUCAGAACAAAUGAAAGAAGGAAAAAAAAAAAAUAACUGUAAACUUGUAUAGUCUAAAAGAUUAGCCCAUCAUCUAAUGACACCAGUAAGCCAAAGAAGACCCAUUACUAACUAUUAAUAUUUUAAAGAUUUUGAUACCACCAUUUUGCUUCUCUCUCACCAAACCCUCCACUGAUCUGACUCUCUCCCAGAUCAGAUCCAAUCCCACCACCAAUGCUCUCUCCCACCUCUCCUCCUCCACCGGAUCUAGCCACCUCAAACCCCUCAUCUAUGCUGCUCCUUCUCCUCCAACUCCACCUCCCCCGAUCACCAUUGAGACCUCCCUGCCUUUCACCUUCCACGUUUGCGACGUGCCCUCCCGCACCAUCAAGAUCUCCUCCCACAUCUGAGAAGCCGAUCUACGACACGGUGAACGACGACGAGUUCGGGGAAUUCAUCAAUGACGACGACGGCCUAGGGUACCUCGACGAUGGCGAGGAAGACGACUGGACAUGCCGCGGGGAUUCGAAAGCAACUCCCAGAGAGAGAGAGAGAGAGAGAGAGAGAGAGAGAGAGAGAGAGAGAGAGAGAGAGAGAGAGAGAGAGAGAGAGAGAGAGA